GGCAACAGCUCAAAUUUGAAAUCUGGCCCCUAGGGUCCGAGUUGUAAUUUGCAGAGGAUGCUUUUGACAAGGUGCCUUCCGAGUUCCCUGGAACGGGACGCCAUAGAGGGUGAGAGCCCCGUCUGGUCGGAUACCGCGUCUCUGUAAAGCUCCUUCGACGAGUCGAGUAGUUUGGGAAUGCUGCUCAAAAUGGGAGGUAUAUGUCUUCUAAAGCUAAAUAUUGGCCAGAGACCGAUAGCGCACAAGUAGAGUGAUCGAAAGAUGAAAAGCACUUUGAAAAGAGGGUUAAAAAGUACGUGAAAUUGUUGAAAGGGAAGCGCCUAUGACCAGACUUGGGCCCGGUGAAUCAUCCAGCGUUCUCGCUGGUGCACUUUGCCGGGCACAGGCCAGCAUCAGUUUGGCUUGGGGGAAAAAGGCUUUGGGAACGUAGCUCCUCGGAGUGUUAUAGACCAUUGCAUAAUACCCUGGGCCGGACUGAGGUUCGCGCAUCUGCAAGGAUGCUGGCGUAAUGGUCAUCAGCGAC
rnacentral:rRNA from 1 species